rnacentral:rRNA from 1 species
UACGUAGGGUGCAAGCGUUGUCCGGAAUUAUUGGGCGUAAAGAGCUCGUAGGCGGCCUGUCGCGUCGGCUGUGAAAACCCGGGGCUCAACCCCGGGCCUGCAGUCGAUACGGGCAGGCUAGAGUCCGGCAGGGGAGACUGGAAUUCCUGGUGUAGCGGUGAAAUGCGCAGAUAUCAGGAGGAACACCGGUGGCGAAGGCGGUUCUCUGGGCAUGUCCUGACGCUGAGGAGCGAAAGUGUGGGGAGCGAACAGG